AUUAAACGCUGGCGGCAUGCUUUACACAUGCAAGUCGAACGGUAACAGGGAGCUUGCUCCGCUGACGAGUGGCGAACGGGUGAGUAAUGCGUCGGAACGUGCCGAGUAGUGGGGGAUGACGCAGCGAAAGUUGUGCUAAUACCGCAUACGUACUGAGGUAGAAAGUGGGGGACCUUCGGGCCUCACGCCAUUCGAGCGGCCGACGUCUGAUUAGCUAGUUGGUGAGGUAAAGGCUCACCAAGGCGACGAUCAGUAGCGGGUCUGAGAGGAUGAUCCGCCACACUGGGACUGAGACACGGCCCAGACUCCUACGGGAGGCAGCAGUGGGGAAUUUUGGACAAUGGGCGCAAGCCUGAUCCAGCCAUGCCGCGUGUCUGAAGAAGGCCUUCGGGUUGUAAAGGACUUUUGUCCGGGAGCAAAUGCUGGUGGCUAACAUCCACCGGAGCUGAGAGUACCGGAAGAAUAAGCACCGGCUAACUACGUGCCAGCAGCCGCCGCAGUAA
rnacentral:rRNA from 1 species